rnacentral:lncRNA from 1 species
CGCUUUCCAGUUCAUAGAUAAUUUUCAGAUGGAGUGAUAUAGUACUUUGUUUUGCGUUGCCAUGUAGAAAAUAAUUUGCGUUUUUAACUAGUAAAUAUACCUUUUAUAUCAUCUCGCUUUUUAGAUUUAGAUCGGACAGUGAAACUUUUUUUUUUGUUGGUUUGAUGCCUUAAAUUGAAAAUGAAGACAAUUUAUAAGAUGAAAGAUCACUAAUCUUAUGAGUCGCAAGAGCUACGGAUCGAUGCCGUAACCGACUUUCCGGUUUGGAUCUAAAAACUUUAAUCGCGCCCAUAUACGCAACGUCCAUAGGUACUGAGGUACAUAUCAAUACCUAAAAAUAAACUAAAGCGACUUGGGAUAAACAACUUUUACAGAAAAUG